rnacentral:misc_RNA from 1 species
CCAAUAGCGUAUAUUAAAGUUGUUGCAGUUAAAAAGCUCGUAGUUGAAUUUCGGGAUCAAUAUUUCGGUCAUGCCGUUGGUAUGCACUGUUAUCAUUGAUUUCUCACCUUCUAAAGAACCGUAAUGCCAUUAAUUUGGUGUUACGGGGAAUUAGGACUGUUACCUUGAAAAAAUUAGAGUGUUUAAAGCAGGCUCACGCUUGAAUACAUUAGCAUGGAAUAAAGAAAUAGGACAUCCGAUUCUAUUUUGUUGGUUUCUAGGAUCGAUGUAAUGAUUAAUAGGGAUAGUUGGGGGCAUUAGUAUUCAAUUGUCAGAGGUGAAAUUCUUGGAUUUAUUGAAGACUAACUACUGCGAAAGCAUUUGCCAAGGAUGUUUUCAUUAAUCAAGAACGAAAGUUAGGGGAUCGAAGACGAUCAGAUACCGUCGUAGUCUUAACCAUAAACUAUGCCGACUAGGGAUCGGAUGAUGUUAAUUUUUUAAUGACUCAUUCGGCGCCUUACA